GAGUGGCGAACGGGUGAGUAACACGUGGGUAAUCUGCCCUGCACUCUGGGAUAAGCCUUGGAAACGAGGUCUAAUACCGGAUAGGACACAUGGCCGCAUGGUCUGUGUGUGGAAAGUUCCGGCGGUGCAGGUUGAGCCCGCGGCCUAUCAGCUUGUUGGUGGGGUGAUGGCCUACCAAGGCGACGACGGGUAGCCGGCCUGAGAGGGUGACCGGCCACACUGGGACUGAGACACGGCCCAGACUCCUACGGGAGGCAGCAGUGGGGAAUCUUGCGCAAUGGGCGAAAGCCUGACGCAGCAACGCCGCGUGGGGGAUGACGGCCUUCGGGUUGUAAACCUCUUUCGACAUCGACGAAGCCUUCGGGUGACGGUAGGUGUAGAAGAAGCACCGGCUAACUACGUGCCAGCAGCCGCGGUAAUACGUAGGGUGCGAGCGUUGUCCGGAAUUAUUGGGCGUAAAGAGCUCGUAGGCGGUUUGUCGCGUCGGCCGUGAAAACCUGCCGCUUAACGGUGGGCGUGCGGUCGAUACGGGCAGACUUGAGUUCGGUAGGGGAGACUGGAAUUCCUGGUGUAGCGGUGAAAUGCGCAGAUAUCAGGAGGAACACCGGUGGCGAAGGCGGGUCUCUGGGCCGAUACUGACGCUGAGGAGCGAAAGCGUGGGGAGCGAACAGGAUUAGAUACCCUGGUAGUCCACGCCGUAAACGGUGGGCG
rnacentral:rRNA from 1 species